rnacentral:rRNA from 1 species
GAAAGCAGGGGAUCGUAAGACCUCGCGCUAUUGGAGCGGCCGAUGUCCGAUUAGCUAGUUGGUGGGGUAAUGGCCUACCAAGGCGACGAUCGGUAGCUGGUUUGAGAGGAUGAUCAGCCACACUGGGACUGAGACACGGCCCAGACUCCUACGGGAGGCAGCAGUGGGGAAUUUUGGACAAUGGGCGAAAGCCUGAUCCAGCCACGCCGCGUGAGUGAAGAAGGCCUUCGGGUUGUAAAGCUCUUUCGGCCGGAACGAAAUCGUCCGGGCUAAUACCCCGGAUGGAUGACGGUACCGGAAGAAGAAGCACCGGCUAACUACGUGCCAGCAGCCGCGGUAAUACGUAGGGUGCAGGCGUUAAUCGGAAUUACUGGGCGUAAAGCGUGCGCAGGCGGCUUCCUAAGUCAGAUGUGAAAUCCCCGGGCUUAACCUGGGAACUGCGUUUGAAACUACAAGGC